CAAACCUGAAGGAGAAGAUGUGGCCUGAAUGCUAAGUUGUUAAAAUGGUGUAUAAACAGUGAUUGAAGAGUGCUGUGGAUAGGAAAAUGGAGAAAAGGGGAUUACUUGGGAUUUUUUAAAAGGUAGGUAACAGGUAACAACAGGUAACACCUCAAGCAACGCAAGGCAAAGACAAAGAGAGUAAAGGCACAAGGUGAGUCCGUGUUCAUUCCUGUUGUAGGAAGCCACCCUCUGAAAUGAUCCACAUGGACCCCCCACGUGUGAACAUGUAGGAAUCCACUGGGCUACGUUCUGCAGCAGCGCCGUACCCGACAGUGUAGCUGUGGGCAUCAUGGAAGUGUAGCUAAGAUCUUGCUGGUGUUUGUGAUCUCUUCUGGGUUAUGCCCUGCCCUGCUCUGUGGCAUAUGGAAUAUGUUCCAUGGUUGGCAAGGAUCUCUCGCGUGAAUGGCAGUGAGAAAGCAGAAUUUUACCUCCUCCUUCUUUGCCAAGGCGAGCAAUCUACUGAUGAAAAAGAAAAAGAAAACUGUGUUGCCCAUGCUCACCUGGGGUCUGGAAGCAGAUAAUCCCUCUGACAUAGUCUUAGAAGGUCAAUAAUAGCUGAAUGCUACAUCACAAUGCUGGCAUCCCACCUCACUUCAUCUUAUUAUGUAUCAUUUUAUU